AGCUUUGCGCAGUGGCAGUAUCGUAGCCAAUGAGGUUUAUCCGAGGCGCGAUUAUUGCUAAUAGAAAGCAAAAUGAGAUCUCCAUAUGGUUGAUAUUAGCUAUUUUUAUAUUUCCUUUUUAACACUAAA
rnacentral:snRNA from 1 species